UACCAGCACCCCGAGUGGUCGGGACGAUUAUUGGGCCUAAAGCAUCCGUAGCCGGCCUUACAAGUCCUCCGUUAAAUCCAGCUGCUCAACAGAUGGGCCGCGGAGGAUACUACAGAGCUAGGAGGCAGGAGAGGCAAGCGGUACUCAGUGGGUAGGGGUAAAAUCCGUUGAUCCAUUGAAGACCACCAGUGGCGAAGGCGGCUUGCCAGAAUGCGCUCGACGGUGAGGGAUGAAAGCUGGGGGGAGCAAACCGG
rnacentral:rRNA from 1 species